CUCCGGCCUCUUCCCGUCUCAAUCUCCGGCCUCUUCUCAUCUCAAUCUCCGGCCUCCGCCUCUCCCCAUCUCAAUCUCCGGCCUUCGCCGUCUGUCUGUCUCGCCGUUUCGUAGCUCCGCCUCUCCCCUUCGGCCGAAAUAGAAGCCAAGCUUAAAGCCCUUAAUCUCAAAUACCCAUCUCAAAUCCGUCCACCGUGAAGCUCUAUCUUCACGUUGGCGGAAACACACCCAAUUCCAAAUGGAUUGUAUCCGAUAAGGUCACUUCAUAUUCCUUCAUCAAGACCCCCAAAAUUGAAGAAUCAGAAGGUGAUGAGGAAAAUGAUGAGGAGGAGG
rnacentral:lncRNA from 1 species